rnacentral:rRNA from 1 species
UGGGGAAUCUUGCGCAAUGGGCGAAAGCCUGACGCAGCGACGCCGCGUGGGGGAAGAAGGCCCUCGGGUUGUAAACCCCUUUCGGCAGGGAAGAAGCCGCAAGGUGACGGUACCUGCAGAAGAAGCCCCGGCCAACUACGUGCCAGCAGCCGCGGUAAGACGUAGGGGGCGAGCGUUGUCCGGAUUUAUUGGGCGUAAAGCGCGCGUAGGCGGCUGCUCAAGUCGGAUGUGAAAAUCCGGGGCUCAACCCCGGACCUGCAUUCGAUACUGGGUAGCUAGAGGCAGGCAGGGGAGAUCGGAAUUCCUGGUGUAGCGGUGAAAUGCGCAGAUAUCAGGAGGAACACCGGUGGCGAAGGCGGAUCUCUGGGCCUGUCCUGACGCUCAGGCGCGAAAGCUAGGGGAGCAAACAGGAUUAGAUACCCCCGUAGUCC